GAUGAACGCUGACAGAAUGCUUAACACAUGCAAGUCAACUUGAACUUCGGUUUGGGUGGCGGACGGGUGAGUAACGCGUAAAGAACUUGCCUCACAGAUAGGGACAACAUUUGGAAACGAAUGCUAAUACCUGAUAUUAUGAUUAUAUGGCAUCGUAUAAUUAUGAAAGCUAUAUGCGCUGUGAGAGAGCUUUGCGUCGCAUUAGCUAGUUGGAGAGGUAACGGCUCACCAAGGCGAUGAUGGGUAGCCGGCCUGAGAGGGUGAUCGGCCACAAGGGGACUGAGACACGGCCCUUACUCCUACGGGAGGCAGCAGUGGGGAAUAUUGGACAAUGGACCAAGAGUCUGAUCCAGCAAUUCUGUGUGCACGAUGAAGUUUUUCGGAAUGUAAAGUGCUUUCAGUUGGGAAGAAAAAAAUGACGGUACCAACAGAAGAAGUGACGGCUAAAUACGUG
rnacentral:rRNA from 1 species